GAGAUGGAUGGAACCUGGGAAAAGUAAUAGAAGAGAGGCCUUGUAAAUCGGUUCAACAGGAUCAUAGCUCUGAGGAUGAGCCUCAAAGAUGAAAGUGACUGAUGUGUUUUGAUGAGAGGGAAUUCUUUACAUCUAAAAAAGUUGACAACUGAUGUGCAGAACUAUCAUAUUUCAAGAUGCAUGAUAAGAGAAGGCAAUCUGAAGAAGGUUCAUCUGCUUCAGUACAAGAUGCGGAUAGA